UCAGAUGUGUAUCAAGAGACAGUGCAUCCUAGAAAAGAGGAGGGGCAGGACAGGUUCCACCUGCUUUCAUGAGUUUCAUCAAGUACUAGACCUACUCAAGGGUGGAGAGAAAGGCAACUUUCAAAAAGGAGUGUGUUAUUAAAUGAGGCAUUUACUAUCCUCCUUCCUAAGAGCACCAGGUGGGGGACAAGUGUUCUAA